GACGAACGCUGGCGGCGUGCCUAAUACAUGCAAGUAGAACGCUGAAGAGAGGAGCUUGCUCUUCUUGGAUGAGUUGCGAACGGGUGAGUAACGCGUAGGUAACCUGCCUUGUAGCGGGGGAUAACUAUUGGAAACGGUAGCUAAUACCGCAUAACAAUGGAUGACACAUGUCAUUUAUUUGAAAGGGGCAAUUGCUCCACUACAAGAUGGACCUGCGUUGUAUUAGCUAGUAGGUGAGGUAAUGGCUCACCUAGGCGACGAUACAUAGCCGACCUGAGAGGGUGAUCGGCCACACUGGGACUGAGACACGGCCCAGACUCCUACGGGAGGCAGCAGUAGGGAAUCUUCGGCAAUAGGGGCAACCCUGACCGAGCAACGCCGCGUGAGUGAAGAAGGUUUUCGGAUCGUAAAGCUCUGUUGUAAGUCAAGAACGGGUGUGAGAGUGGAAAGUUCACACUGUGACGGUAGCUUACCAGAAAGGGACGGCUAACUACGUG
rnacentral:rRNA from 1 species